CCUACGGGUGGCAGCUGUGAGGAAUAUUGGUCAAUGGACUAGUGUCUGAACCAGCCAAGUAGCGUGAAGGAUGACUGCCCUAUGGGUUGUAAACUUCUUUUAUAUGGGAAUAAAAUGUUCCACGUGUGGGAUGUUGUAUGUACCCUAUGAAUAAGGAUCGGCUAACUCCGUGCCAGCAGCCGCGGUAAUACGGAGGAUCCGAGCGUUAUCCGGAUUUAUUGGGUUUAAAGGGAGCGUAGGUGGAUUGGUAAGUCAGUUGUGAAAGUUUGCGGCUCAACCGUAAAAUUGCAGUUGAAACUGGCAGUCGUGAGUACAGUAGAGGUGGGCGGAAUUCGUGGUGUAGCGGUGAAAUGCUGAGAGAUCACGAAGAACUCCGAUUGCGAAGGCAGCACACUGGACUGCAACUGACACUGAGGCUCGAAAGUGUGGGUAUCAAACAGGAUUAGAUACCCGAGUAGUC
rnacentral:rRNA from 1 species